rnacentral:rRNA from 1 species
UACGUAGGGUGCAAGCGUUGUCCGGAAUUAUUGGGCGUAAAGAGCUCGUAGGCGGUUCGUCACGUCGGCUGUGAAAACCUGAGGCUCAACCUCAGGCCUGCAGUCGAUACGGGCGGACUUGAGUACUGCAGGGGGAGACUGGAAUUCCUGGUGUAGCGGUGAAAUGCGCAGAUAUCAGGAGGAACACCAGUGGCGAAGGCGGGUCUCUGGGCAGUAACUGACGCUGAGGAGCGAAAGCGUGGGGAGCGAACAGG